UACGUAGGGCGCGAGCGUUGUCCGGAAUUACUGGGCGUAAAGCGCACGUAGGUGGCGACGUAAGUCGGGUGUGAAAGCCCCGGGCUCAACCUGGGAAUUGCAUUCGAGACUGCAUUGCUGGAGUACGGAAGAGGAAGGCGGAAUUCCCGGUGUAGCGGUGAAAUGCGUAGAUAUCGGGAGGAACAUCAGUGGCGAAGGCGGCCUUCUGGUCCAGUACUGACACUCAAGUGCGAAAGCGUGGGGAGCAAACAGG
rnacentral:rRNA from 1 species